UGAUCAUGGCUCAGAUUGAACGCUGGCGGCAGGCUUAACACAUGCAAGUCGAGCGGAGAGAGGUAGCUUGCUACUGAUCUUAGCGGCGGACGGGUGAGUAAUACUUAGGAAUCUGGCUAUUAGUGGGGGACAACAUUUCGAAAGGGAUGCUAAUACCGCAUACGUCCUACAGGAGAAAGCAGGGGAUCUUCGGACCUUGCGCUAAUAGAUGAGCCUAAGUCGGAUUAGCUAGUUGGUGGGGUAAAGGCCUACCAAGGCGACGAUCUGUAGCGGGUCUGAGAGGAUGAUCCGCCACACUGGGACUGAGACACGGCCCAGACUCCUACGGGAGGCAGCAGUGGGGAAUAUUGGACAAUGGGGGAAACCCUGAUCCAGCCAUGCCGCGUGUGUGAAGAAGGCCUUAUGGUUGUAAAGCACUUUAAGCGAGGAGGAGGCUACUGAGACUAAUACUCUUGGAUAGUGGACGUUACUCGCAGAAUAAGCACCGGCUAACUCUGUGCCAGCAGCCGCGGUAAUACAGAGGGUGCGAGCGUUAAUCGGAUUUACUGGGCGUAAAGCGUGCGUAGGCGGC
rnacentral:rRNA from 1 species